GACGUAGGGUGCGAGCGUUGUCCGGAUUUAUUGGGCGUAAAGAGCUCGUAGGCGGCUUGUCGCGUCAGCUGUGAAAACCCGCGGCUUAACCGUGGGCCUGCAGCUGAUACGGGCAAGCUAGAGUUCGGUAGGGGAGACUGGAAUUCCUGGUGUAGCGGUGAAAUGCGCAGAUAUCAGGAGGAACACCGGUGGCGAAGGCGGGUCUCUGGGCCGAUACUGACGCUGAGGAGCGAAAGCGUGGGGAGCAAACAGG
rnacentral:rRNA from 1 species